rnacentral:sRNA from 1 species
GCAUGUAUCCAGUAGAUGUGUUGGAAGAUGAUCCUGACGCACAUCAGGAAGCAGCUCUGGCUUACUAUGCCUCAUUUAGGGAAGGAGCUGGGGCCCCAGCUGAGGUUUUCUGUCUUCCCACUGGGGAGAAGUUGUGGCUGUUUACAUAAAGGAAUCCUGGUGCUCCACGGAAGAUGCACUAAGAACCUCUGAUCCUGCAAGAGAAGGGUUGAUGAAGGUUCAGUCGUUUGGGGAAAGGGUUGUGCUUUUCAUUCUAAACGCCGUUAUUUUUGGAAGAUUGGAGAGAAAUUUGGAUGAUGAUGACAUGUUUUUUCUACCUCACUCUGUGAAGGAACAAGCUAAAAUCCUGUGGAGACGUGGAGCGGCUGUUGGGUUUUACACAACCAAGAUGAAAGGCAGACUAUGUGGUGAUGGCACCGGUGCGUGCUACCUGCUGCCUGUCUUUGACACCAUGUUCAUCAGGAGGAAACACUGGCGCCGAGGCUUGGGAACAGCCAUGCUGCCGGACUUCUGUGAGACAUUCCCAGAGGACGAGGCCCUGGGGGUUAGCUGCCUGAUGUCUCCUGCCAUGUACCAAGUCUGCAGGCAGUUCCUGCUGGUCUGUCCGGAGGAGCGAGGACGCCUGUGGGAGGUGGAGCACCAGGGGGCCUGGGGCCAGUGCACCAAUAUCUGGCUAAAGGUUCAGCUUCACCAGGCAAGGCUUCCAGACUGACACACCCAGGAAAUUCCGAGGACGUGAGCCGUCAUGCGAGGACUUCUCAGAAUGACAGACCCAGACACCCUGCCCCUGGAGACGGCAGCAAG